UACGUAGGGGGCGAGCGUUGUCCGGAAUCAUUGGGCGUAAAGCGCGUGUAGGCGGCCCGGUAAGUCCGCUGUGAAAGUCCAGGGCUCAACCCUGGGAUGCCGGUGGAUACUGUCGGGCUCGAGUCCGGAAGAGGCGAGUGGAAUUCCUGGUGUAGCGGUGAAAUGCGCAGAUAUCAGGAGGAACACCAAUGGCGAAGGCAGCUCGCUGGGACGGUACUGACGCUGAGACGCGAAAGCGUGGGGAGCGAACAGG
rnacentral:rRNA from 1 species